rnacentral:rRNA from 1 species
GAUGAACGCUAGCGGCAGGCCUAAUACAUGCAAGACGAACGGUAAGUUGAGUAGCAAUACUUAGCCAAGAGUGUCGUACGGGUGCGUAACACGUAUGCAACCUACCCUAUACAGGAGGAUAGCCUAGGGAAACCUGGAUUAACCCUUCAUAGUAUUAUUGGAUGGCAUCAUUUGAUAAUUAAAACUGAGGUGGUAUAGGAUGGGCAUGCGUCUGAUUAGUUAGUUGGCGGGGUAAUGGCCCACCAAGACGAUGAUCAGUAGGGGUUCUGAGAGGAAGAUCCCCCCACACUGGCACUGAGAUACGGGCCAGACUCCUACGGGAGGCAGCAGUAGGGAAUAUUGGUCAAUGGAUGCAAGUCUGAACCAGCCAUGCCGCGUGCAGGAAGAAGGCCUUCUGGGUUGUAAACUGCUUUUGCCAGGGGAUAAAAUUUCCAUGCGUGGAAAACUGAAGGUACCUGGUGAAUAAGCCAGGCUAACUACGUGCCAGCAGCCGC